UCUGCUAAGUCGCUUCAUCAUGUCCGACUCUUAGCGACCCCAUGGACUGCAGCCCACCAGGCUCCUCCGUCCAUGGGAUUUUCCAGGCAAGAGUACUGGAGUGGGUUGCCAUGCCCUCCUCCAGGGG